rnacentral:rRNA from 1 species
CCUACGGGUGGCAGCAGUGGGGAAUAUUGCACAAUGGGGGAAACCCUGAUGCAGCGACGCCGCGUGAGUGAAGAAGUAAUUCGUUAUGUAAAGCUCUAUCAGCAGGGAAGAAAAUGACGGUACCGGAGUAAGAAGCCCAGGCUAACUACGUGACAGCAGCCGCGGUAAUAAGUAGGGGGCAAGCGUUAUCCGGAUUUACUGGGUGUAAAGGGAGCGUAGACGGCAGUGCAAGUCCGGAGUGAAAGGCGGGGGCUCAACCCCCGGACUGCUCUUGAAACUGUACGGCUGGAGUGCAGGAGAGGUAAGUGGAAUUCCUAGUGUAGCGGUGAAAUGCGUAGAUAUUAGGAGGAACACCAGUGGCGAAGGCGGCUUACUGGACUGUAACUGACGUUGAGGCUCGAAAGCGUGGGGAGCAAACAGGAUUAGAUACCCCUGUAGUC